rnacentral:rRNA from 1 species
CACGAAGGGUGCAAGCGUUGUCCGGAAUUAUUGGGCGUAAAGAGCUCGUAGGCGGUCUGUCACGUCGGAUGUGAAAAUCAGGGCUUAACCCUGGACCUGCAUUCGAUACGGGCAGACUAGAGUUCGGUAGGGGAGACUGGAAUUCCUGGUGUAGCGGUGAAAUGCGCAGAUAUCAGGAGGAACACCGGUGGCGAAGGCGGGUCUCU